rnacentral:rRNA from 7 species
GAAGAACGCAGCGAAAUGCGAUACGUAGUGUGAAUUGCAGAAUUCCGCGAAUCAUCGAGUCUUUGAACGCAAGUUGCGCCCGAGGCUUGUCCGAGGGCAUUUCCGCUAGAGCGUCACC